AGGGGUUGAACGUUGGGCAUCAAUGCCUGGGGAGCUGAGUGCUGAGGAGCUGAACGUUGGUCAUCAAUGCUGAGGAGUUGGACCGUUGCGCAUUGAUGCUGAGGAGUGAGGUGUUCAACGGUUGGUUGAACGUCCGUUGCCUUGCCUCUGGGUCCUGCCAGUGUUUCCGGGUUGGGUGCUGCUAGCCUGAUUACUCUGUCAAUAUCUAAUUGUAAUUAAUUUUGUGGCCUUUGAUACUUCUAGAGCCGUAUUUUUUAAAAGGUACAUAAAGUAACGAAGCAGAAUGUAUAGCGCAAGGUCCACGAACUGCAGCGAAACGGAAGGCGCAAGCGGAGCUUCGAACGGCGAUUUCGACCGAUUCUCAUUCGCGGAAGAUCAAAAAUCAACCAAGCUUUUGAAUUUGAGGUUGAAAUUGUGAGAGAAAUCAGUCUUUGAUUUGGUAAGAGCAAUAAUUUUAGGGAAUUGUUGGUUCAGAACCCUAUAAAAGGAGAGCUAUUCUGAUGUAUUUUAGCAGAUUAUUCCUUUCAUAUUCUUAGAAUUUUAGAAUAGUUUUUCUCCAUGUCUGGCUAGAUUUUCUUUAUUUUGAUUCAAGGAAUUGAAGUUUUAGUUGUGAAUUUAGGGAGGUUCUAUUUCAAUUAAUUUGUUGAAUUCAUGUA